UGGGGAAUCUUGCGCAAUGGGCGAAAGCCUGACGCAGCCAUGCCGCGUGAAUGAUGAAGGUCUUAGGAUUGUAAAAUUCUUUCACCGGGGACGAUAAUGACGGUACCCGGAGAAGAAGCCCCGGCUAACUUCGUGCCAGCAGCCGCGGUAAUACGAAGGGGGCUAGCGUUGCUCGGAAUUACUGGGCGUAAAGGGCGCGUAGGCGGAUCGUUAAGUCAGAGGUGAAAUCCCAGGGCUCAACCCUGGAACUGCCUUUGAUACUGGCGAUCUUGAGUAUGAGAGAGGUAUGGGGAACUCCGAGUGUAGAGGUGAAAUUCGUAGAUAUUCGGAAGAACACCAGUGGCGAAGGCGACAUACUGGCUCAUUACUGACGCUGAGGCGCGAAAGCGUGGGGAGCAAACAGG
rnacentral:rRNA from 1 species